AUUGAACGCUGGCGGCAGGCCUAACACAUGCAAGUCGAACGAGUGGCGGACGGGUGAGUAAUGUCUGGGAAACUGCCCGAUGGAGGGGGAUAACUACUGGAAACGGUAGCUAAUACCGCAUACUAUCGGAUGUGCCCAUAUGGGAUUAGCUAGUUGGUGGGGUAACGGCUCACCAAGGCGACGAUCCCUAGCUGGUCUGAGAGGAUGACCAGCCACACUGGAACUGAGACACGGCCCAGACUCCUACGGGAGGCAGCAGUGGGGAAUAUUGCACAAUGGGCGAAAGCCUGAUGCAGCCAUGCCGCGUGUAUGAAGAAGGCCUUAGGGUUGUAAAGUACUUGCAGCGGGGAGGCGUUACCCGCAGAAGAAGCACCGGCUAACUCCGUGCCAGCAGCCGCGGUAAUUC
rnacentral:rRNA from 1 species